AGACCCAUUGACUCCUUCCUUUGAAAUCAAAUUCACAAGUAAGUUGAGCAUACUUCUUGAUUGGUAAAGUUACCAAUGAUCUUCAUUAUAAUAUAUAUAUAUAUAUAUAUAGACAUGUAUAUAUCAAUUUUAAAAUCUAUCAGGAUGUAGGUAUGGGGUGGACACAUGAUCAACUUCCUUGAAGAUCAUCAUGGUAGAUUUGACAUGUGCCAACCUCUAUACUUAUCCUGGUCCCAAUAAAUUGGAUUCAUCAGCAGUGGUGAUUCUUUGGUGCCAAUUCAUCAUUUAUAUGACAUUAACAAGAGGAUUUUAAUUUGUAUCUAUGUCCAUUAAACCAUUAUAUUUUUAGACCAUGA